UAAAAUUUUGCAAAGUCCACCAUCCUUCAAGUUGAAGUUUAAAGUCCGACAGUAUUCAAGUCCUCCAAGUCUUCAAGUAUGUCGGUGGUUAAUUGGAAGUCCUCAAUCGCCAAUCUUCAAGUUGAAUUAUAUAAGCCUUCCAAAUCUUCAAGUAUGUCGCUCUUCAAGUUGAAUUCUGCAAGUCCACUGCCCUACAAGUUGAAGUCAAAAAGUCCUCCAAUCUUUAGGUUGAAGUAUUCAAUCCCUCCAAGUCUUCAUGUCCGCCAGUCUUCAAUUUGAAGUCCUCAAAUUCGCCAAUCUUCAGGUUAAAUUAUUUAAGCCCUACAAGCCUUAAAGCUGAAAUCUUCAAGCCUACUAAUUUUUCAAGUUGAAGUAAAAGUCCA
rnacentral:lncRNA from 1 species